rnacentral:rRNA from 1 species
AUUGAACGCUGGCGGCAUGCCUUACACAUGCAAGUCGAACGGCAGCGCGGACUUCGGUCUGGCGGCGAGUGGCGAACGGGUGAGUAAUACAUCGGAACGUACCCUGUUGUGGGGGAUAACUAGUCGAAAGAUUAGCUAAUACCGCAUACGACCUGAGGGUGAAAGUGGGGGACCGCAAGGCCUCACGCAGCAGGAGCGGCCGAUGUCUGAUUAGCUAGUUGGUGGGGUAAAGGCCCACCAAGGCGACGAUCAGAAGCUAGUCUGAGAGGACGAUCAGCCACACUGGCACUGAUACACGGCCCAGCCUCCUACGGGAGGCAGCAGUGGGGAAUUUUGGACAAUGGGGGCAACCCUGAUCCAGCAAUGCCGCGUGUGUGAAGAAGGCCUUCGGGUUGUAAAGCACUUUUGUCCGGAAAGAAAUCGCGCUGGUUAAUACCUGGCGUGGAUGACGGUACCGGAAGAAUAAGCACCGGCUAACUACGUG